AUGUCGGCGCCGGUGAGCAUCUGGACGACCUGCUUGAAGGAGGCGGUGUCGGCCUGGACGAAGGUGGUGGGGAAGGGGGUGGUGUCGAUGGUGCGCGGCACGGGCCUCGGGGACGGCGGCAGCGGGCUGGGGCGGUGGUGGGAGGGCGACGCGGCGGAGGACGGCGAGGAGGAGGAGGUGGAGGAGGACGGGGAGUUGGGGUCCCGCGGCGCCAUGGGGAGGAGUUGCUUGGGCGCGGCAACUUCCAUUGUUGGUUGGUUGGUUUCGUCGGGGAUGGAUGAAGGAGGGAGGAAGGGGGGAAGGGGCUGGGUUCAGGGACGGCAGAGGGAGUGGGAAUAA
rnacentral:rRNA from 1 species